AGAUCAUUUAAGCCCAGGAGUUCAAGGCUGCAGUGAGCCAUGAUUGCGCCACUGUACUCCAGCCUGGGUAACAGAG
rnacentral:snRNA from 1 species